ensembl:lncRNA
UGCUUCCCUCUUGGUCGGGGUGGUCCUCAUUUUUUCAAAAGUUAACAUGUCGCAUUCAUCUCUCUUCUAAGACUGCAGUUUUCUAUUAGAAGCAUCCAUUUACCUAAUUCUCUCUCCUACUCAUGAUCUCUUACUUUCUGCUGUCGGUUCGAUGCUGUGUCACAUACCUGGAGUGCGUCCAGGGGUUGUAGCGGUCGUGGAGGUACUUGGAGCGGUAGAAGGCAUCACCAAGACUGUUGGCCCAAUGGGUACAAGUGUUGGGCUGGGCUGGGGUAUUGUAGGAACUGUGUGCCAUUCAGUGGCAAAAGUAGAUAUUUUUGUGGGGAUGGUGGGGUUUUUUGUAGGGACAGUGGGUUUUUCAGUAGGGAUGGUGGUUUUUUCUGUGGGGAUGGUAGGCCUUCCAGUAGGGACGGUGGUCUUUUCAGUGAGGACAGUGGAUUUUUCUGUGGGGAUGGUGGUCUUUUCAGUAGGGGUGGUAGGCCUUUCAGUGGGGACAGGGGGUUUUUCUGUGGGAACUGGAGACCUUUCAGUGGGGAUGGUGGGUUUCUCUGUGGGAAGGGUAGGUUUUUCUGUGGGGAUGGUGGUCUUUUCAGUAGGGGUGGUGGGUUUUUCUGUGGGGAUGGUAGGCCUUUCAGUAAGGACGGUGGGAACGGUAGGUUUUUCUGUGGGGAUGGUGGUCUUUUCAGUAGGGGUGGUGGGUUUUUCUGUGGGGAUGGUAGGCCUUUCAGUAAGGACAGUGGGCUUUUCCGUGGGAAGGGUAGGUUUUUCUGUGUGGAUGGUGGGUUUUUCUGUGGGAAGGGUAGGUUUUUCUGUGUGGAUGGCGGAACUUUCAGUGGGGACAGUGGGUUUUUCUGUGGGCACUGUGGGCCUUUCAGUGGGGACGGUGGGUUUUUCUUUAGGAAGGGUAGAUUUUUCUGUGGGGAUGGUGGUCUUUUCAGUAGGGGUGGUGGGUUUCUCUGUGGGAAGGGUAGGUUUUUCUGUGGGGAUGGUGGGCCUUUCAGUAAGGACGGUGGGUUUUUCUGUGGGAAGGGUAGAUUUUUCUGUGGGGAUGGUGGGCCUUUCAGUGGGCAUAGUGGGUUUUUCUAUGGGGACAGUGGACCUUUCAGUGUGGAUGGUGGUCCUUUCAGUGUGGACAGUAGGUCUUUCUGUGUGGACAAUGGGCUCUUCUGUGGAGAUACUGGGCUUUUCAGGGGGUAUAGUGGACUUUUUAGUGGGGAUGGUAGGCUUUCCAGUGGGGAUGGUAGGUUUUCCAGUGGAGAUGGUGGGCUCUUUGGGAAGGACAGUGGUCUCUUCAGAGGGCACAAUGGUCUCUUCAGAGGGGACAGUGGGUUUUUUAGUGGGAAUAGUGGGCUUUUCUGUUGGGACUAUGGGCUUUACUGUGGUGACAGUGGGUUUUUCUGUGAGGGCCAUAGGUUUUAUUUGGGGUGUCAUAGGUUUUUCUGUGGGGGUCAUGGGUUUUCCUGUGAGGGCCAUGGGUUUUUCUGUGAGGACAGUGGAUAUUUCACUGGGGACAGUGGGUUUUUCUGUGGUGGCCAUAGGUUUUUCUUUGGGGACUGUAGGUUUUUCUGUGGGAGUCCUAGGUUUUUCUGUGGAGACAAGGGUUUCAGAAGGGCCAGUGGGGGGAACUGGAGAUUUGGAAGGAAGCACUGUUGGCAUAGUUCCUGCAAAGAAAAAACAAACAAACAAACAAACAAACAAACCCUGGAGUUUAGUCGAAACCAGACCACCACCCUCUUCACUCACUUCCAAUUGGAGUGGGUGGCCUCAAAGGGUAAUUUAUUCACACCUCUCCUUCUACUCCCAACCCCAACCUUCACUCAACAAACUCUCAACAAGCACUGCUCCUAAUAAAUAUCAGACGUCAUGCCAGAUACAAACGACACAACAUGAAUAGGAUGUGGGUCCUCCCUUCAGGAUCGCCAUCUACUGGGUAAGGAAUUCUGGAUCUAGCCACAGAAAUUCACUGCAUCAAAGUCACAUGCGCACACGCAAGCAUCCUGAUGCCACCGAGAAGGCAGAAUGUAGAACACAAAGCAGUGUGAAAAUACAAGCACAGGAGAGAACUUGAUUUUCAGCCAUCUGACAGAUGGUCAUCCCAGAGCACCGCCCCCUUUCCGGGGCCUUGAGUUUUGUUUUACCUCUACAAGUCCCGUGAUUGAUCAAGAUAAAACCCACAGCGACAACAAAGGCAGUGUUGGUCCCUCUGAUGGCCUCCAAUAUCAGCUGAAGGGAAUGAAGGACAGAGAAGAGAGAAGUCCAACUGAAUCCAUGGCACCUCAAGGAUUCUCCCAGACAGCCUGUCCUCUGCCAAAAGGUCACCUUGUUCUAGGCUCAACAGUCCAAUUCUGCCCUCACUCCUUUUCAGGAUGCAGAUAUCCCUCUCAGGGACACUGAGUUCACCUCUGCUCUGCCCCCUUUCCAGCGUCCCAUCUCCUCAGCCCUGAUUGUCCCCGGGUACUAUGUCCCCCUCACCGGGCCCCACACAGGGCCCACUCUGUCUCUCACCUGCAUGGGCUGUUGAUGCCCCGAAGGGAUAGUGACGGAGGUGUUCAGCCAGUCGGGGCUCUGAGACCCAACGCGGUGCCAGAGAGAAGUCGGGAAACUGCCUGCGGGACUCUCCAGCAGGAGACUGAGUUUAGCGCCCUCUCCUAGGCCGUACAUGUGGUAAGCAAACUCCACACAGAUCGCACUCGGGGCACAGAAGGGCCGGCUCACCAGUCUGCAAGACUGGCCUGCCUCAGAGAACUUGUCAGCCUCGAAAUAGAUAUAGCGACCUUCUGGGCAAAAGAAGGGAAUCAAAAGAAGGGCAAGAUGACAACCCCCACCCCCACCCUGAGGACACUCUCGUGUUGUUUUCCCUAGCGACACCUUGCAAACGAGGGUUUGACGCGAACACCCAAACUCCCCACGCUGUAAGCGGGUUUUUUUUUUUCCUACUUGUUUUGGACUUCUAACUGAAGAAGGUAGGAUCAGAAAGAAAGGGAAAACCAAACGAGCAACCCAGAUUCCUUUGCUGGCUGCACCAGUAAAUGUCUUAACUGAAAAUGAGAUUGUGGAUUUUGAAGGCUCGGGCUCAGUGAAGUGAGUUGCCUGGAUUUUCUGGCGGUUUCAGUGACCCCACAGGCAGGAGAAUCUUCAACCCGUUCGAUUUCUGUCAUCUCCCCAGCUCGGACCCAUGGUGGCUUCCCAAUAAACACCUGCCAGCUGACCGUCGCCACCUACAAUAUCUUCUCCCAGGAAUCAUACCAGCCAACUCCCCAGUAAUCCGUUGGCUACGGGAUUGGGAGAUCCUCAAUCUCCUCACCUCCAUUAAGGGAACCUCCAAAAGCGCCUGUACCCUGGAUGUGCAUAUUUUUACUUCCCCGGGUCCAUUGUCCACCGUCCUCUGAUGCCUGGGCCCAGUCACAGAAGGGAUGGGCAUCAUCGUCAAAGUCACACUGAGGAAAGCUCUCUAGGGGAUCAAAAUGGGAGAUGUGAGAAAUUUGGGCCAUGCCCUCUAUUUCUCCCCAAUCUUACCCCCCCCCCCCCCCCCCACCCCCACCGCCCGUUUUGAUGAUCUGGUGGAGGCCCUGCUCCUCCCAGGGCCUUGCUCUCACCCCCACAGGGAGCAAUGCUGAUCGCAUCCACUGCCACAGCAGGCUCUGGGGUCUCUCCAAACACACCCACCACAGUGAACUGAAGAGAGAGAGAGAGAGAGAGAAAGGGGACUGGGAGUGAAAAAAGAGCCCAGAUGCCCAAACCACCCCCCCACCAUCUAAUUUUACUCUAUUCAGGAACCCAGACACCCUACUCCCAGCGCCCAGACCCUCACUCCACUUCAAUAUCAGAAGUGCCUACCCUGUGCAAGGGGUCCUGACCUUUGCUCCUCUGUACCUGAAUUUGUCCCUGGGCUGUGUAAUUGACAGUAACAGGCUGCCAAUUGGGUCCAGGUUGUCCUGAGAAGAGAGUGUGUUUCCUGAUGCUGCCUGCAAAUGAAAGGAAUCAGAGAGAGAAUUGCCUUAUUAAGGGGACUGAAAAUGACCUCAAACCUGUACUCAGGGGGCGCCUGGGUAGCUCCGUGGGUUCAGCGUCUGACUUUGGCUCAGGUCAUGAUCUCACGGUCUGUGAGCUCGAGCCUCACGUCGAGCUCUGUGCUGACAGCUCAGAGCCCGGAGCCUGCUUCACAUUCUGUGUCUCCCUCUUUCUCUGUCCCUCCCUUGCUCACGCUCUGUCUCUCUCUCUGUCUCUCAAAAAUAAACAAUUUUUAAAUUAGGAAAAAAAAUCCCAUACUCAGAAAGAGGAGUAGCUAAGGGAAUACUGGGAGUGUAUCCCCUUCUCCCAAAUGCAAGCACAUCCUUCUCUCUCACUCUCCUGGUACUUUUAUCUGUUUUUCUAGAAGCCAGCACUCUCCCAGCUCCCCAAUUCUACGCCACACAAUAAUCUUGCAUAUAUCCUAGAUUUCCCUAGAAAUAUGGGAUGCCCCAUAUUUUCCUGUCAACUCAACCCUGGGAGACGAGAUAAGCAUAAAUCCUGCAAAUGCCAGUCUCACCCAAGACAGAAGCAUAGAUGGCGAGGGCUGCACCAGGUGACUGGCCAUAGAGGAUGUAGUGGAAGAACAGGCUCAAACAGCCAGAGG